rnacentral:sRNA from 1 species
GCUAGGCAUGGUGGCUCAUGUCUGUACUCCCAGCUACUUGGGAGGCUGAGGCAGGAGGAUCACUUGAGCCCAGGAGGUCAAGACUACAGUGAGCUGUGAUCACACCACUGCACUCCAGCCUGGGCGACAGAGUGAGACUCUGUCUCAA